CCUACGGGUGGCAGCAGUGAGGAAUAUUGGUCAAUGGACGAGAGUCUGAACCAGCCAAGUCGCGUGAAGGAUGACGGCCCUAUGGGUUGUAAACCUCUUUUAUAAAGGAAUAAAACGCGGCACGUGUGCCUUUUUGCAUGUACUUUAUGAAUAAGGAUCGGCUAACUCCGUGCCAGCAGCCGCGGUAAUACGGAGGAUCCGAGCGUUAUCCGGAUUUAUUGGGUUUAAAGGGAGAGUAGGUGGGUUGUUAAGUCAGUUGUGAAAGUUUGCGGCUCAACCGUAAAAUUGCAAUGGAUACUGGCAGUCGUGAGUACAGGUGAGGUAGGCGGAAUUCGUGGUGUAGCGGUGAAAUGCAUAGAUAUCGCGAAGAACCCCGAUUGCGAAGGCAGCUUACUAGCCUGUGACUGACGCUGAUGCUCGAAAGCGUGGGUAUCAAACAGGAUUAGAUACCCUAGUAGUC
rnacentral:rRNA from 1 species